UCAAGCGACUAAGUGUAUGUGGUGGAUGCCUUGGCGAUCACAGGCGAUGAAGGACGUGACAGCCUGCGAAAAGCUGUGGGGAGCUGGCAAAUAAGCUUUGAUCCACAGAUGUCCGAAUGAGGGAACUCACCUGCUUUGCAGGUAUCCCAUCCUGAAUAUAUAGGGAUGGGAGGCGAACGAAGCGAACUGAAACAUCUAAGUAGCUUCAGGAAAAGAAAUCAACCGAGAUUCCGAAAGUAGCGGCGAGCGAAAUCGGAUCAGCCCAGCACUCGAUAGCAGCCAACUUACGGGAACGGUCUGGAAAGUCCGGCCAUAGAGGGUGAUAGCCCCUUACUGGAAAAGGCAGCUGUGGUACUAAGUGUGCGAUAAGUAGAGCGGGACACGUGACAUCCUGCUCGAAGAUGGGGGGACCAUCCUCCAAGGCUAAAUACUCGUGAUCGACCGAUAGUGAACCAGUACUGUGAAGGAAAGGCGAAAAGAACCCCGGGAGGGGAGUGAAAUAGAUCCUGAAACCGCAUACAUACAAACAGUAGGAGCCUCGUUAAGGGGUGACUGCGUACCUUUUGCAUAAUGGGUCAGCGACUUACGUUUAAUGGCGAGCUUAACCGUAUAGGGGAGGCGCAGCGAAAGCGAGUUCGAACAGAGCGUUCAGUCGUUAGGCGUAGACCCGAAACCAGAUGAUCUAUCCAUGGCCAGGUUGAAGGUGUGGUAACACACACUGGAGGACCGAACCGACUAGUGUUGCAAAAUUAGCGGAUGAGCUGUGGAUAGGGGUGAAAGGCUAAACAAAUCUGGAGAUAGCUGGUUCUCCCCGAAAACUAUUGAGGUAGUGCCUCGCGUAUCACUCCAGGGGGUAGAGCACUGUUAUGGCUAGGGGGACAUGGCGUCUUACCAAACCAUGGCAAACUCCGAAUACUUGGAAGUUUGAGCACGGGAGACAGAGCACCGGGUGCUAACGUCCGGACUCAAGAGGGAAACAACCCAGACCGCCGGCUAAGGUCCCUAAUAUUGACUAAGUGGAAAACGAAGUGGAAAGGCUAAGACAGUCAGGAAGUUGGCUUAGAAGCAGCCAUCCUUCAAAGAAAGCGUAAUAGCUCACUGAUCGAGUCUUUCUGCGCGGAAGAUGUAACGGGGCUAAGUCAAUAACCGAAGCCGCGGAUUCACACUUGUGUGUGAGUGGUAGGGGAGCGUUCUGUAAGCCUGCGAAGGUGACUCGUAAGGGUUGCUGGAGGUAUCAGAAGUGCGAAUGCUGACAUGAGUAACGUUAAAGCGGGUGAAAAGCCCGCUCGCCGUAAGCCCAAGGUUUCCUGCUCUACGUUCAUCGGAGCAGGGUGAGUCGGCCCCUAAGGUGAGGCUGAGAAGCGUAACUGAUGGGAACAAGGUUAAUAUUCCUUGACCACCGCUGAAUGCGAAGGGGGGACGGAGUAUUGAAGAUCAUCCGGGUGUUGGAUAUCCCGGUUUGCGAGCGUAGGAGGCUGACAGGCAAAUCCGUCAGCGAAUCUCCGAGGCAAAGCAUCGAGCUCUCUUUUGAGCGAAGUGAUUGGAUGUGCUUCCAGGAAAAGCCUCUAAGCUCCAGUUCAGCGGGACCGUACCGCAAACCGACACUGGUGGGCGAGCUGAAUAUGCUCAGGCGCUUGAGAGAACUCAGGAGAAGGAACUCGGCAAAUUGACACCGUAACUUCGGGAUAAGGUGUGCCUUUGUAGCGUGGAGGGAGAAACACCCCGAGCGCGAAGAGGUCUCAGAUAAUCGGUGGCUGCGACUGUUUAUUAAAAACACAGCACUCUGCAAAGACGAAAGUCGACGUAUAGGGUGUGAUGCCUGCCCGGUGCUGGAAGAUUAAUUGAUGGGGUGCAAGCUCCUGAUCGAAGUCCCAGUAAACGGCGGCCGUAACUAUAACGGUCCUAAGGUAGCGAAAUUCCUUGUC
rnacentral:rRNA from 1 species